UUUUGGAGCGGUGUACCUCCACCUGUGGUUGGGCGUGAACUACCAAUUAGCAUUCUAAUUCAUCUUAGCUGCAAUUUGGUCACUAAUUCUCACUGAAUCACAAAAUCCUCAUUUAACAGUAGACAAAACAAACAUUAACAAAUCAGAAUUGCAAAAUGGCCGCAAAUUUUCAAUAAAGCAACUGCAUUCGCUGUCAUGUAACACUACAUAGAAACACACAUGAUCACUGUAAAUGCUUAGAUACAAAUUGCAGGAACAGCACGUUAGCAACUACAAUCACCGCAAGGGUCUAUCAAUUUGCUAUGCACAACACACAAUCUUUUCUUUCUCCAUAUCGAUGCCUUUUGCCCCUACCAUGGUGUGUGUGUGUGGGGGGGGGGGGGGGGGGGUGUACGGGUUGUCCUGCGGCGCAUGAAAAAACGGCAAAUGACCUAAACCUUUAUGCAAGGAUAGAAAAAUAGUGUUAUAAUCAAACAAGUUUUAGCAAAAGUACCACAACAUCGAAGCCAAAAUGCUUGCAUCCCAACUCACAUGGCGAGUGCCCAGGUAGCGAGAAAAAACCAUUAGCAAAAGGGUAUUGCAAAUGGAGGGGUGAGGACGGUGGACCUAGGUGGCAACCUUGCAACGAGUAGUAGCUAGAGGUAAGGGAUAAGGGAUACGGAUUAGGAAAUAUUUGGUUGCCUGCUAUUGGUCGCCACGCCACAUAUGCU
rnacentral:lncRNA from 1 species